GCUUCAGUGAGUCCGACCUUUACGGCUGAGAGAGAGACUCUCAGCUUUCGGUGGGUUCCACGGCUAGACGGGCCACCAUCUUACAUUAGGUACAGCUGAGCUCAUCCUCCUUACUGGAAAAUCGCCAGUGAAGAAAUACCUGAAUUGCCAUGUGCACAUUUCUCAAGAGAACGCGGGCAGUCAGAGUAGCAUGAGUUGCUGAUGAUGUGAAAGCAUGUGGACUUACCUGCAAACUGUUGCUGGCUGCACAGAACUCUUCCAGCCUGCACAGAAGUGUGCGUCAGGUUCGCAAACUGCACAAGUAAACACGUCUCAAAGGACAUAAUACAACCGCAGCCGGUUCGAGCACCGAGAAAUUCUAAAUAACAAAAUCAAUUUACUGAACUUCCCGGGUUGCCUCCCAGAACUCUGGUAUCAUUCUGCUGUGUUGCGAAUGGAUUGAAGAAAGACAAGAAUGAACUUGGAACAACUAAUUAUGGGAAUAUUUUAGUCAUCCAGAUGGUUAUUCUGAUUGUGGUGGCAGCAAGGAUGGAAAAAAGGUAAUAAAACCAAGAUACAUUCUUUGAGAUUGAAAUAACAGGACUGGGUGAUAAAGUGGAAAUGAAGGGGUUCUCUUGAAUGAGUCCUGUUUCUCUGGAUUGAGUGGCCUUGCAGAUGGGGGCUCCUUUGGUUGCAAAGGAGAAGAGGAAAGUAAUGAUGAUUGAAAUAGCAUGUAUGAAAUGGAAGCAGAGAACUUCAUGUGAAAGUCAGCAGGACUUCAGAAGAGUAGUGACUGCCCACUUGAACCUGUGAGUGCAUCUGCUUUAUCGCUGCUGCUGCUGCUGCUGCUGCUGCUGCUGCUGCUGCUGCUGCUGCUGCUGCUGCUGCUGCUGCUGCCGCCACCACAUCUUUCCCUGACAUCAGAAGCCAGCAUGCUUGGUCAUCCAAUGUGGACUGAAGACCAGUAACUCUCCAGGAAUCUUCCAGGCCUUCAGCACCAGAUUGUCUCUGCUGAGGAAGAAUCCAGUCACAUGGACUAAGGAGCUAUUGGGUUCCCAGAUUCUCCAGAGAGGAGUAACUAUGUUUGGACUAACUAGCUUAUGGCAUGUCUCUGGACCAUCCAGCCUUCUGUUCCUGGUCAUCUAGACAGUGUUGGGCAUGGAAUCUCUUUAGUCAUGUGGGCAUCAAGUUACACCAGCCAUUGGUUGGCCAUUUCCACAAGUUCUGUGCCUCUUUUGCCCCAGCACAUCUUGUAGGCAGGACAUUUUAGGUCGAAGGUUUUGUGGCUAGGUUGGUAUCCCAGUCCCACCACUGGAAGCUUUGCCUGUUAGGGAAGAUGGCUCCUGUAUGCUCCAUUACUAGGAGUCCUUGCUAGGAUCACCCUCGUAGACUCCUGGGAGUUUCUGCUGCACUAGGUUUCCACAUUGUUUCCCAGAUACUCUCCAAUUCCCGUCAACUCUUCUGUAUUCUCUUCCUCCAUCCCUCCCCCUCUACCUGUUCUCUUCUGCUCGCAUUCCCACCUGCCCCAAGUCCACCUGCAAAAUCUAUUCUACUCUCCUUCUGCAGAGAGAUCAAUUUGUCCCCUAGAGCCCUCCUUGUUAUUUUUCCUUUCUGGCUCUGUGGAUUGUAUCAUGAUCGUCAGUUACUUUAUAGCUAAUAUCCACUUACCAUGUUUGGCUUUCUGGGUCUGGAUUAUUUUUCUUUUCUAGUUUCAGCCUUUUGCCUGUAAAUUUCAUGAUGUCAUUUUUUAAACACCUGUGUGAAUGUACCACAUUUCUUUAUCCACCCUGGGAUUUUUUGUUUUCCCAAAUGAAGUUGAGUUUUGGUAUUUCAAACUCUAAAGAAUUGUGUUGAGAUUUUGAUGGGGAUUCUAUUGAAUCUGUAGAUUGCUUUUGGUAGGUGUCUUAGUCAGGGUUUCUAUUCCUGCACAAACAUCAUGACCAAGAAGCAAGUUGGGGAGGAAAGGGUUUAUUCAGCUUAUAUUUCCAUACUGCUGUUCAUCACCAAGAAAGUCAGGACUGAAACUCAAGCAGGUCAGGAAGCAGGAGCUGAUGUAGAGGCCAUGGAGGGAUGUUAUUUACUGGCUUGCUUCCCCUGGCUUGCUCAGCCUGCUUUCUUAUAGAACCAAGACUACCAGCCCAGAGAUGGUCCCACCCACAAGGGGCCUUUCCCCCUUGAUCACUAAUUGAGAAAAUGCCUAACAGUUGGAUCCCAUGGAGACAUUUCCUCAACUGAAGCUCCUUUCUCUGUGAUAAUUUCAGCUGUGUCAAGUUGACACAAAACUAGCCAGUACAGUAGGAAUACCACUUUUUACUCUGUUGAUCCUACCAACCCAUGAGCAUGGAAGAUCUUUCCUUCUUCUGAGACAAAUUAUGGGUUUAAGCACCUGGAGACCCUCUUCAUGAAAAUAAAGUAUUUCCAGCACCUUGGCCCUAGCAUACAAUGACACUGUCCUUGAAAAGCUCCUACCCACUCCCCAAGGUUUAUAUUGCUGUCCCCACCCCCAAAAAAGAGCUGUUUCACUGAAUAUCGUCUAGAUGAGCUGCUUCACUUCCCACAAUACAGAAGAGUGGUAACACUGAAAAAGCAUUUCAAAGAAGCCCCUCUCCCCAUCCCUCCCCCUCCUUCCACACCCUCUACCCUCCCCACCCCCCACCCCACCCCCAUCCAUUCAGUUAAUCUGUGUCUUUUUAUUGGAGAAUUGAGACUGCUGAUACUGAGUGACUAAUGAUUGUUAAUUCCGGUUUUGUUUUUGUUGUUGGUGGUGGUGGUAGUAGUGUUAUGUGUAUGAGUGUGUAUUGAAGUAAUUUUAUGGGAGGGCUUCUGCCACAUUCUUGCCUGUUUUGCUCCCAAAGAAAAUGGCACUGUUCAGAAACACUGUAAUUUAUUAAUAAGCUGUCCAUACUAUGAUGGGCAGGUUCUGAGUUAUACUAACCCUUCCACACUGUUAAAACCCACAUGAAUGACCCAUUAGUUGCCAAAUUAGUGUCUCCUAGGAAGCUUCUGUCCAGGACAGUUGUCUGUCCUCAGGGUGAACUUCUCUUGGCCGUCUGCUUCUAGUCCAUCCCACUUAACGGCCACCUCCUCCUUGUCCUUUUUCUUUUCCGUGUGUUUCCUACCUGAGACCCCCUAUUUGAUCUCAAGUCCCACCUUUCUCUUUCUCUCCUGCCCAGGCACAGGCCUUUUAUUAAUGAAUCAGAGAUCACCAGGGAGCAUCCUUUACAGCACAUUGGUCAAUACAAUGCCCAUGUCCAGACUGCAACCUGAUCUUAGUGGCACAGAACUCAGCAUCUGAGUACAUCGUGUACAAGACCAAUCCCAACAAGUAUGUGUAUGUGUGUGUGUGUGUGUGUGUGUGUGUGUGUAUGUGUGUGUGUGUCUGUGUGUCUGUGUGUGUCUGUGUGUGUGUCUGUGUCUUUCCAUUCAUUUGGUUUUGCUGGUGUGACAUUAUUUAUUUCCUAUGUUCUUGUAGGUGUAGUUAACCUCCUUAGAUUGGUGUUUUCCUUCUGGUAUGUUCUGUGGGGCUGGAUUUGUGGGUAGAGACGUUGUUUAAAUUUGACUUUAUCAUGGAAUGUCUUGCUUCCUUAUCUAUGGUUAUUGAGUGUUUUAAUAGGUAUAGUAGUCUAGGUUGGCAUCUAUGGUCAGCACAUCUGUCCAGGCCCUUCUGGUUUUUAGAGUCUUCGUUGAGAAGUCAGGUGUAAUUUUAAUAGGUCUGCCUUUAUUUGGCACUUGACCUUUUUGCUUUACAGCUUUUAAUAUUAUUUUUUUCCUGUAUGUUUAGGGUAUGGUUGUUAUGUAGAGAGAGUAUUUUCUUUUCUGCUCCAAUCUAUUUAGUGUUCUGUAAGCUUUUUGUACCUUUAUAGGCAUGUCCUUUAGGUUAAGUAAUUUUUCUUCUGUGAUUUUUUAAAAAUAUUUUCUGGGCCUUUGAGCUGGGAUU